rnacentral:rRNA from 1 species
ACGUGAGCAACCUGCCCCGGACUCUGGGAUAAGCGCUGGAAACGGCGUCUAAUACUGGAUAUGGGACGUGACCGCAUGGUCUGUGUUUGGAAAGAAUUUCGGUCGGGGAUGGGCUCGCGGCCUAUCAGCUUGUUGGUGAGGUAAUGGCUCACCAAGGCGUCGACGGGUAGCCGGCCUGAGAGGGUGACCGGCCACACUGGGACUGAGACACGGCCCAGACUCCUACGGGAGGCAGCAGUGGGGAAUAUUGCACAAUGGGCGGAAGCCUGAUGCAGCAACGCCGCGUGAGGAAUGACGGCCUUCGGGUUGUAAACCUCUUUUAGCAGGGAAGAAGCGAAAGUGACGGUACCUGCAGAAAAAGCGCCGGCUAACUACGUGCCAGCAGCCGCGGUAAUACGUAGGGCGCAAGCGUUAUCCGGAAUUAUUGGGCGUAAAGAGCUCGUAGGCGGUUUGUCGCGUCUGCUGUGAAAUCCGGAGGCUCAACCUCCGGCCUGCAGUGGGUACGGCCAGACUAGAGUGCGGUAGGGGAGAGUGUAAUUCCUGGUGUAGCGGUGGAAUGCGCAGAUAUCAGGAGGAACACCGAUGGCGAAGGCAGAUCUCUGGGCCGUAACUGACGCUGAGGAGCGAAAGGGUUGGCGAGCAAACAGGCUUAGAUACCCUGGUAGUCCACCCCGUAAACGUUGGGAACUAGUUGUGGGCCCCAUUCCACGGUUUCCGUGACGCAGCUAACGCAUUAGUUUCCCCGCCUGGGGAGUACGGCCGCAAGGCUAAAACUCAAAGGAAUUGACGGUACCC